rnacentral:rRNA from 1 species
GACGAACCGUCCAAAACGUUAUUCGGAAUUACUGGGCUUAAAGGGUGCGUAGGCGGCGCGGAAAGUUGGGUGUGAAAUCCCUCGGCUCAACCGAGGAACUGCGCCCAAUACUACCGUGCUUGAGGGAGAUAGAGGUGAGCGGAACUUAGGGUGGAGCGGUGAAAUGCGUUGAUAUCCUAAGGAACACCGGUGGCGAAAGCGGCUCACUGGAUCUCUUCUGACGCUGAGGCACGAAAGCUAGGGUAGCGAACGGG